rnacentral:rRNA from 1 species
UACGGAGGGUGCGAGCGUUGUCCGGAAUCACUGGGCGUAAAGGGCGCGUAGGCGGCCUGCUAAGUCGAACGUGAAAUCCCCGGGCUCAACCCGGGAACUGCGUCCGAUACUGGUGGGCUUGAAUCCGGGAGAGGGAUGUGGAAUUCCAGGUGUAGCGGUGAAAUGCGUAGAUAUCUGGAGGAACACCGGUGGCGAAGGCGGCAGCCUGGACCGGUAUUGACGCUGAGGCGCGAAAGCCAGGGGAGCAAACGGG